UUACGGCCACAUCACGUUGAAACACCGGUUACCGUACGAUCAUCGAAGUUAAGCAACGUCGAUCCUGCCCACUACCUAGAUUGGUGACCUCUUGCGAAUACCAGAUUUUGUAA